GAGUUUGAUCCUGGCUCAGGAUGAACGCUAGCGGCAGGCCUAACACAUGCAAGUCGAGGGGUAACAGGGUAGCAAUAUCGCUGACGACCGGCGCACGGGUGAGUAACGCGUAUGCAACCUUCCUUUAACUGGGGGAUAGCCCGGAGAAAUUCGGAUUAAUACCCCAUAACAUCAUAGAAAGGCAUCUUUCAGUGAUUAAAGCUCCGGCGGUUAAAGAUGGGCAUGCGUGCCAUUAGCUAGUUGGUGAGGUAACGGCUCACCAAGGCUACGAUGGUUAGGGGGUCUGAGAGGAUGAUCCCCCACACUGGUACUGAGACACGGACCAGACUCCUACGGGAGGCAGCAGUGAGGAAUAUUGGGCAAUGGGCGCAAGCCUGACCCAGCCAUGCCGCGUGAAGGAUGAAUGCCCUAUGGGUUGUAAACUUCUUUUGUACGGGACGAAACUCCUGGUCGUGACCGGGAUUGACUGUACCGUGCGAAUAAGCAUCGGCUAACUCCGUGCCAGCAGCCGCGGUAAUACGGAGGAUGCAAGCGUUAUCCGGAUUCAUUGGGUUUAAAGGGUGCGUAGGCGGAAUAGUAAGUCAGUGGUGAAAGCCUGCGGCUUAACCGUAGAAAUGCCAUUGAUACUGUUAUUCUUGAGUAUAGUUGAGGUGGGCGGAAUGUGUAAUGCAGCGGUGAAAUGCUUAGAUAUUACACAGA
rnacentral:rRNA from 1 species